rnacentral:rRNA from 1 species
UACGUAGGGGGCAAGCGUUGUCCGGAGUUACUGGGCGUAAAGCGCACGCAGGCGGUCUUUUAAGUUUGGAGUGACAGUUGGUGGCUUAACUGCCAAAGUGCUUCGAAAACUGAGAGACUUGAGGGCUUCAGAGGGACACGGAAUUCCGGGUGGAGUGGUGAAAUUCGUAGAUAUCAGGAGGAACACCAGUGGCGAAGGCGGCUUUCUGGACGAUAACUGACGCUGAGACGCGAAAGCGUGGGGAGCAAACAGG